UGCGGAAGGAUCAUUGUCAAAA
rnacentral:rRNA from 1 species